rnacentral:miRNA from 1 species
AUCAAUAUACCCAAGGCUCGGA